rnacentral:rRNA from 1 species
AUUGAACGCUGGCGGCAGGCCUAACACAUGCAAGUCGAGCGAGCGGCGGACGGGUGAGUAAUGUAUGGGGACUGCCCGAUAGAGGGGGAUAACUACUGGAAACGGUGGCUAAUACCGCAUACUAUCGGAUAACCCAAGUGGGAUUAGCUAGUAGGUGGGGUAAAGGCUCACCUAGGCGACGAUCUCUAGCUGGGCUGAGAGGAUGAUCAGCCACACUGGGACUGCGACACGGCCCAGACUCCUACGGAGGCAGCAGUGGGGAAUAUUGCGCAAGGGGGGCAACCCUGAUGCAGCCAUGCCGCGGGUAUGCAGAAGGCCUUAGGGUUGUAAAGUACUUUCAGCGGGGAGGCGUUACCCGCAGAAGAAGCACCGGCUAACUCCGUGCCAGCAGCCGCGGUAAUUC